UCCAGUAACUGUUUUCUCAUUCUUUUAUCAAUUCUCAAUGAAAAGAAAAAGUUCUUUUUCAUUUGGUUUUCGUCAUCUGAUAGUGAGACUUUGGUGGUUGUGGGCCUUCUUUCUAUUAUUUUACAUAAUCGGACUUUUUGGGUUGGGAUCCUUCUGAGGGACUCCUGCUGUAUGAACUCCCAUUUGCUUUGUUCCACUCUUCUAUUUAGGGUGCUUUAGUUUUCUCCUUCAUAUGGAAGAUUUGAAAUUCCUAAGAAAGUAAAGCUCUUCGCUUGACGAAUCUUGCAUUGGAGAUUGAACACCCCCAGAUCUUAUCGUCUGAUAUAUAUAUAUAUAUUGUAUUAUAGUCCCAAUGGUGUGCUUUUUUGCAGAUGUCAUGAGGUGAUCAUGAGGAGGAUCUGGACCAUCUCUUAUAAGACUAUCAGUUUGCUCACUCUUUUUGGAGUCGAUGCUUUAAUUUGUUUGGGUUGGCAUUGGUGCACAACAAAUAGGCUCUGUGUCGCUCUUUGAGUGAGGAGAUUCUUAAAUACUAUCCCUUUUGAGGAGAAGGGUGUUAUGACAUGUCUGCAAGAGCUCCUCGUGGAGAAGGAAAUGGUUGUAGGGUCUUACACAAGUUUCUAGAAUUCUAUAACACAACAAAGCAGUCUGCUGUUUGUAAGGACUGAAACAUAUAUCAAAUUUGUUGUAAACAUGCCUGUAGAUAUUCACAUUGACACCAUUGCUGGCAGGGAGGUGGUUGGUGGAUAGAAUGUUUAAAAGCAAUAUCUGAUACUAUUUCUGACACGCAGCAUGAUCUGUUUCAUGUCUUGUCAUUAUAGUCGGAGUGGUCUCAUCGAGGUUACCGUAAAUUUCACUUACACUCUAGAUUGGUAGAAUUGAGGCUAAAAAAAUUUCUGGUUUGACACUUCCAACUUCAAAGUUGGAGGAUCAUGUUCUUGACAGCAAUACGUAUUACAUAUAUGACAUAACAGAAAAUUUUGUUUUUUUUUAAA